rfam:Pleurotus ostreatus PC15 unplaced genomic scaffold scaffold_03, whole genome shotgun sequence.
GGCGAGAUGGCCGAGCGGUCUAAGGCGCCAGACUAAGGAUCAGCUCAUCUGAUGAGCAUUCAAUCUGGUCUUUCGGGGCGUGGGUUCGAAUCCCACUCUCGUCA